CCUACGGGUGGCAGCAGUGAGGAAUAUUGGUCAAUGGGAGAGAUCCUGAACCAGCCAAGCCGCGUGAGGGAAGACGGCCCUAUGGGUUGUAAACCUCUUUUGUCGGAGAACAAAACCCGGGACGUGUCCCGGACUGCGUGUAUCCGAAGAAAAAGCAUCGGCUAACUCCGUGCCAGCAGCCGCGGUAAUACGGAGGAUGCGAGCGUUAUCCGGAUUUAUUGGGUUUAAAGGGUGCGUAGGCGGUCCGUUAAGUCAGCGGUAAAAUUGCGGGGCUCAACCCCGUCGAGCCGUUGAAACUGGAAGAGUGGAGUGGGGGAGAGGUACGCGGAAUGCGCGGUGGAGCGGGGAAAUGCGUAGAUAUUGGGCAGA
rnacentral:rRNA from 1 species